GAUCAUGGCUCAGGAUGAACGCUAGCGACAGGCUUAACACAUGCAAGUCGAGGGGCAUCACGGGAGUAGCAAUACAACUGGUGGCGACCGGCGCACGGGUGAGUAACGCGUAUGCCAACCUACCUAUCAGGAAGGGGAAUAACCCGGCGAAAGUCGGACUAAUACCGCAUAAAACAGGGGCACCGCAUGGUGAUAUUUGUUAAAGAAAUUCGCUGAUAGAUGGGCAUGCGUUCCAUCAGGUAGUUGGUGAGGUAACGGCUCACCAAGCCGACGAUGGAUAGGGGAACUGAGAGGUUGGUCCCCCACACUGGUACUGAGACACGGACCAGACUCCUACGGGAGGCAGCAGUGAGGAAUAUUGGUCAAUGGGCGGGAGCCUGAACCAGCCAAGUCGCGUGAAGGAAAAGAAGGAUCUAUGGUUCGUAAACUUCUUUUGCAGGGGAAUUAAAGUGCAGGACGUGUCCUGUUUUGUAUGUACCCUGAGAAUAAGGAUCGGCUAACUCCGUGCCAGCAGCAGC
rnacentral:rRNA from 1 species